rnacentral:tRNA from 1 species
GCACCGGUAGUCUAAUGGCUAGGAGUACUUAGUGCUUAGGCACAGGGACUAGUAAAUAGAGGCCUUCCAAGCCUUUGAUCCGGGAAAUGUUUGGAGCUAGCAUUCGGAUAUUCGAAUCCCGGCCGGUGCA